rnacentral:lncRNA from 1 species
GCUGGGGGUUAGGAAGAACACACACAAGACAGGGAAAGAGUAGAAGGCAGACAAUAGGGUGCAGGAAGGAGAACAGCUGUAGGGAAUAAAAACACUCAGGGGAAGGUCAUAUAAGGAGGAGGGGAAUCAUCACAUGGGUGAAGUUUUCAGGAAGGUGCUAUUGUGUGGAGACUUGUGAGGAGACCUGACCUUAUAAGGAAGAAAUAAAGAAGUACUUUUCACAGAAACGAGGGAAUCACUUUUAACUAUGAAGGAAACAAGAAAAGAACAAAUAAACAAAAUUCCAUAUUAAGAUACCCUUGCUCCAAACAUCUGUGUGGAAGUCUGUUGAAAGAAAUGGGAAUCCUUGACUGACUGUCAUGGAUCAGAUCUCCCAAAGACACUUUGGCCUAAGUUUCAUGUUUGCUUAGGCACAAUGAAGCACGCAUAUGUGAAAUUUUGCUGUUUAAUAAUGUCACCUGGAGGGUGUCUCAUUGCUUGCUGAAAUCAGUGGAAAGUGUGUCAUUGAAUGGCAUCUUCAGGAAGUUCAUGCAGGCCACUGCAUCUCAUCCUUUUACAGGGAUUAUUCCAGCAACUCCUGAAAUGCAAAACCUUCUGUGGCAACAGAGAAAAGGCAGUCUUGUGACUACGGCUCUGACCUAA